rnacentral:tRNA from 1 species
GCAUGUGGCUUAGUGGCAGAGUGCUUGCCCUACCCUAGCCUGCUUGAGGCCCUAGGUUGGAUCCCCAGCACAUGCA